AAGUUCUCAACCAUGAACAACUCUGUUGCGUCAUGGCUUGGAUGUGGGGGAUUGUUAUUUGCAGGCUUCAAGUCUGCUCCCCUGAAAUGCAUUAGUAGUAUCUGAGCAGAAACUACCAAGGUGUGAUAAUUUAUCCAUUGCCUUUCAAGUAUGCUGCGACCAGAUCACACUGCUUCGAACCAAAUCUUCAUUUUUGAUAA
rnacentral:misc_RNA from 1 species